CAGAAAUGUCAGUGUUGAAAACCAGCUUCUGGCACUUAAAGAAGUGAACACCAGACAAAAUCUGGAAAUCCGAGGCCUGAAAUGCAAAAUCAGCAGCAUAUAGAAAAGCUUUCGCUUAAUGGAGGAAAAACUUUACAAAGUGGAGAACGAGUUGAACAAAGACCCAAAGCCCACAGCAAAGUGAACUGGAUCAGACAUGUCACCACCCAGGAAAGCUCAAAAGCCUCGACUUGAUGCUGCUUCAGCUGAUCCUGUAAACACAACACACACAACACAAUCUCUCAUCUCCAGUGCAUUAGAAACACUACAAAAGUCCUGUUCUGAUGUUUUACCUACAGACAGGAUUCAUGCACUUCUCACAGGAACAAGUGAACUUCCUGUUUUGAGAGAUGAAGAGAAACACGUCAUUUCUGAGUUUUGUGUAA